UGGUUUGAAAGCUGUUAACCUCAAUUAAUAUCCAUCGCAUUACGUAUUCUACCAACUUUAUCGUCCCUUACACUUAGAGUAUUCCUUGUCUUUCGUUUACGAAUUUGUCAAAUCACUACUUCAGUCUGCCUUAAAGAGAAUAAGACUGUUGCUUCAACUUCCAGCAAAAACGUGAAUAAAGGAAUAGUUAUCGCAUCCAAUUUGCUCGGUUUUUCUGGUAUUGGAUUCGUUAAUUUUUUAACGAAACAUGGCUUGAAAGUCAUCGGCUUUCUUGUUCGAAAAGGCUAGGGUUUCAUGAUUCCUAUCAUUGUCACAUCUUAAAAAUAACUUCGUAAUGGAUUGUAGAUGGACUGUAUGUACCAGAAUAGCAGAAUUAUCCUUAAGCAGCUAACAUCCAUCCAAAAUUGAUUUUCAUAAAUGAGCGGGUAAAGUGUGACUGACUGAGUGUCGCCGCUACCAAAGAUAAAUGCACAGCCUUCGACUAUAUGUCAUAUCUACAAAAAACAAGAUCUGUUGAUUUUAACAAUGCCGCCACAUAAAAGCGAAUCGAAUUAAACAGCACUGACAACGAUCACGGCGAACCAAACAUGCAUCUGAAAUGAUAAUAUUACAAAUUAAGGUGUAGCUUCGUUCGUUUUGUGUUAUAUUCUAUAGCAGAUAUUCUAGAUGAGGCUAUGUGUGUUUUGUUCCCACUGAGAUUAACGAACCAUUGCAAUUUAAAGUGGAGCGUACCUAUUGAAGUAGAGAGCCCAAUCAAAUUCAUGCACGCGCAUAUAAAAUCCUAACGUCUACGAGUGUUGAGCAGAAUGUCAAUGGCGAUGAAAUCGCAUUCAUGACUCGAGCGACUUCGCACCUUUGAAGUAUUUGAAAUAUUUUGACGACGACCAAAAUUUGACGCCUACCCGCCGGAAGCAUAACUAAACAGCAGCAUAAAACGUUAAGCUCGAAUCCAGCUGCAGAUGCAGGUUCGAGACUUCUUUGAUGUACAACUGUCGAGCAAUUGUAUUCAAGAUAAUCUGCAGACCUAAACGGAGGCUUCUUUGCAUUUAGAAUGAAAAAUGAGAACAACUUCUAGAAGAAAAUCGACUCUUAUAAGCUACAAUGCUCGUUUUGCUCCGCACUUCAGCUGAGAGCAUCUGCAUCGCAGGAUUAUAUUGAUCAGUACGACAAUGGGCUGUAGCAUCAGCUAUGCUAAACAUCGCCUAUCGUCACGUUGA